rnacentral:rRNA from 1 species
AGAGUUUGAUCCUGGCUCAGAACGAACGCUGGCGGCAGGCUUAACACAUGCAAGUUGAACGGGAUUUGUGUGGUGCUUGCACCAUAUAAUGAGAGUAGCGCACUGGUGAGUAACACGUGGGAACGUGCCUUUUAGUGGGGGAUAACAUCUGGAAACGGAUGCUAAUACCGCAUACGCCCUGAGGGGGAAAGAUUUAUUGCUAAGAGGUCGGCCCGCGGUAGAUUAGGCAGUUGGUGGGGUAAAGGCCUACCAAACCUACGAUCUAUAGCUGGUCUGAGAGGACGAUCAGCCACAUUGGAACUGAGACACGGUCCAGACUCCUACGGGAGGCAGCAGUGAGGAAUAUUGGGCAAUGGAGGCAACUCUGACCCAGCCAUGCCGCGUGAGUGAGAAGGUUUUCGAAUUGUAAAGCUCUUUCGGGUGUGAAGAUGAUGACGGUAACACCAGAAGAAGCCCCGGCAAACUUCGUGCCAGCAGCCGCGGUAAUACGAAGGGGGCGAGCGUUGUUCGGAAUUACUGGGCGUAAAGGGUGUGUAGGCGGUUAAGUAAGAUAGUGGUGAAAUGCCGGGGCUCAACCUCGGAAUUGCCAUUAUGACUAUUUAGCUAGAAUGAUGCAGAGGAUAGCGGAAUACCCAGUGUAGAGGUGAAAUUCGUAGAUAUUGGGUAGAACACCAGUGGCGAAGGCGAGUAUCUGGCUGUCAACUGACGCUGAGGCACGAAAGCAUGGGGAUCAAACAGGAUUAGAUACCCUGGUAGUCCAUGCUGUAAACGAUGAAUGCUAGUUGUUGGAGGAAUUCAGUGACGCAGUUAACACAAUAAGCAUUCCGCCUGGGGAGUACGGUCGCAAGAUUAAAACUCAAAGGAAUUGACGGGGACCCGCACAAGCGGUGGAUGAUGUGGAUUAAUUCGAUGCAACGCGAAAAACCUUACCCAGCCUUGACAUGUCAGGAAUGCCUCGGAGAUGAGGCAGUGCCCGCAAGGGAACCUGAGCACAGGUGCUGCAUGGCUGUCGUCAGCUCGUGUCGUGAGAUGUUGGGUUAAGUCCCGCAACGAGCGCAACCCCUGUUGCCAGUUGCCAGCAUUAAGUUGGGGACUCUGGCGAGACUGCCGGUGACAAGCCGGAGGAAGGCGGGGAUGACGUCAAAUCAUCAUGCCCCUUAUGACCUGGGCUACACACGUGCUACAAUGGACAGAGCAGAGGGAAGCGAAGCCGCGAGGUGGAGCGAAACCCAUAAAACUGUUCUCAGUUCGGACUGCAGUCUGCAACUCGACUGCACGAAGAUGGAAUCGCUAGUAAUCGCGAAUCAGCAUGUCGCGGUGAAUACGUUCUCGGGCCUUGUACACACCGCCCGUCACACCAUGAGAGUCGGUAACACCCGAAGCCGGUGGCCUAACCGCAAGGAAGGAGCUGUCUAAGGUGGGACUGAUGAUUGGGGUGAAGUCGUAACAAGGUAUCCCUACGGGAACGUGGGGAUG